CCCGCCUUCGAGGUCGAAGGGUGAGGCAAGAGAUGUGUCGCGUUUUUUAAAGAGGCCCGAGAAUAUACCGGUCAUGGAGGAGAAGGAGGGAUGAGAGAUGGAGAAAAAGGAAAAGAGUCAUGGAGAAAGGGGCUCCAUUGGUGCCGCCUACAACUGGGUUCCAAAUGGAUGUAAACCUACAACUACGGAGGAGGAGAUAACCCAGAGGUUGAGGCUCAUGGAAUGGUGCUGCUGGACUCAGGAAGCGACAGGACUACACCGGGCUCAACAGGAAGCACCAGUACCCGAAUGAAUCCCAGUGGCACGCAAUUACUCUGGACUCCAGGGUCAUUUUUAUCUAAAACUGUUGUGGGUCAAAAGAUUAGAAUGGAGGCAAAGUUAAAACCAUUGCAGAAGAUACAUGGUGGAGAAAUCUUCUAAUUAACUAUUAUCCAUCUCAUUUAAAACUAUUUUGUUUGUAUUUUGUCAAGUUAAAACCAUUGCAGAAGAUGUUUGUAUUUUGUCAAGUUAAAACCAUUGCAGAAGAUACAUGGUGGAGAUAUCUUCUAAUGAACCAUUAUCCAUCUAAUUUAAAACUAUUUUGUAUGUGUUCCCUGUGUUGUCAUUGGCUGCAUUGCAGAAUUGAUGGGUAGAAUUGUGGUUGAAGCUUCAACUCAAGAAGAGGCAAAACGAUAAAAACAGAAAAAAAAGCCAGGGUGUUUUUUUCUCGAAACGUGGACUACAGUUUUUAUGAAAAUAAAUGCGGUCCACAAGAAACAAGCAUUAUUAUUUGUACCGAAAUAAGUCAGAGUUCAUACAAGUGGUUCAAAUGUUGACCGCUCCAAUAACAUUAAGGUCCAGCUCCACAACUGUCUCUCCUGUGACUGGGAAGUCUUUUGCUUUGCUAGUGGCCAGUGGCUAUCAAAGGACAACCUCCAGCAAAGGCACUGGAAUAUGCUCCACGUACUUUUCUUACACAAGUCUUCCUGUGCUAAAAUGACCCCAAUGAAAUAAAGAUAGACACCCUUCUACUUUUACCUGACUGAAAACACUUGUCAAGCUGCUUACCCUGCAAGGGUUGGCAGCAGAAACGAUUCUUAACUGGAAAGGGCAGCAAUCCAGUACAGUAUAAUAGAUAGUUGAGGACAACUAGAAGGUUGCAAACUUGCAACAUAAAUCAUCGCAUGACAUCAUGCAACCUUGUGCCACCAAUUACUCAAUGAAUACAAAUGAACUUUAACGUUGUUCUCGUCUUCUUGUAAUGCUUGUCAAUGUUAUUUAGUUUGUGUCACAGCCUUAAGGGAACACGUAAAACAAAUAGGUUCAGAACAUGCAAGUACAGUGUGUGGUGCGUGGAUGUUCCUGUAGGCUAUGGUGAAAACUAGCUCAGGUCAUGGAAACUCAAAGUCCCAGUUGCAGUAUGAUGAGAGAGAUGCAGGUACAGGGGUCAGCUGCAUCUCUCUUUCACAUCCUGCCUUCCCCACUGCUGUGGA